rnacentral:rRNA from 1 species
CGACUGAGUGGCGGACGGGUGAGUAACGCGUGGGCAACCUGCCCCAUACAGGGGGAUAACAGUUAGAAAUGACUGCUAACACCGCAUAAGCGCACAGGGCCGCAUGGCCCGGUGUGAAAAACUCCGGUGGUAUGGGAUGGGCCCGCGUCUGAUUAGCCAGUUGGCGGGGUAACGGCCCACCAAAGCGACGAUCAGUAGCCGACCUGAGAGGGUGACCGGCCACAUUGGGACUGAGACACGGCCCAAACUCCUACGGAAGGCAGCAG